UGUGGCUUUAUUGAGUGUGCUGAAAAGGAUCUUCGAGUGUUCUUUCAUUACAGUCAGUACAAAGGACAUUCAAGUGAACUGGAACUUGGUGACUGUGUGGAGUUUGAAGUGACAUCAGAUUCUUGUAAGGGUAAACCUAUUGCAUGUCGAGUGGUGAAAUUGGAACAAGGCUCUGUUAUAUUUGAAGAAAAGAGCGAGGAAAGAGUUGUUGGUAAAGUGGA